rnacentral:sRNA from 1 species
AUUUACAAGGGAUUUUUAUUAACUUAAC